rnacentral:lncRNA from 1 species
CGGCUGCGGCUCGCGCGCGCGGCCCUGGGCUGGCUCGGUCCGGUUCGGGCGCGAGGUGAGUUGGGCCGGUUCGGCCCAUUUGGCCGGGCCGGUCCGUUUACUUCCUUUUUUUUCUUUUUCCUUUUUCCUUUUCCUUUUUCUGUUUUUCCUUGAUAUCUUUUGAUUUUGAACUCCAAAUUGAUCCAAAUAAAUUUCAGAAAAUUUGUAAAAUCAUAUCAUAAUAUGAUUCAACUUUUGGGACUAAUUUCCCUUCCAAAUAAAAUAUACAAAAAUACAUUUUCCCUAUAAAUGCCUUUAGGGCUUUAUAACUAUUUAAAUAAAAUAGUUUUUCAACUCCAAAUAAAUCUUAAAAAUUAUGGGAUAGCUCAUUUGUGCAAUAAACCCCUUUUAGAAAUAAACCCUAUGGGUUUUAAAGUCAAAACUCAAAUGGGUGAAAAACCUA